rnacentral:tRNA from 1 species
GAGAGAGGCUCGCCAGCAACAAUAACUGCUAAUUAUUGCCACUCCGGUUAAACCCCGGAGCUCACUCG